AGACGAACCCUGUUAAAGCCGAGCAUUUACCGGCUUACAUUUGUGUCAAGCCAGUUUUCUCUCAACAGAAGAAAAGUCAAUACUGUCUUUUUAUUUUUUUUUUUUUGAGGAACAAGUUAUAAGUAAAACCUGUGGGUGAUGUAGGAGAUAUUUUGAGUUGAGUGGAAGGAUGGGUUAGAUAGUCUCUACAGCCCAUUCUCAGUUCCUAGAUUUGGGUUCCUGGAAAUCAUGUCCUAAAAUUUGCAGAGUGUAACUCAUACAUUCAGGAUUGACACAGUCUCAGCAGGAGGAAAUGUCGGCUGCGGUUAGCAUGAUGAAGUAACUGGGACAAAUGUCAAACCCUGUGACAAUGCCCCAGACCCAGUCGCCGGCUCUGCAGCAGGCCAGCGGCCUGGGCUGUCUCCCAGCACCCUUCCUGAGCCGUCCUCCGAGGGUCACGGUAGAAGCGUCUAGACCACAUCAAAGGAAUUGAUGUCUCUGGUUUUACUCUCCACUCAAUAUUUCUGAAUUGUUCUGCUCAGACUUUAAGAGGAGCACUGACAUAUCUCAAUAUAAAAGGGUCUGAAAAUUCAAGAUUUGACGUCUUGGGGAAGCUUAGCUUAGAAAAAGAGGAACCUGGGUGAGAUGAGAGGUGUCUCCAGGUGCUGGGAGGAUCCCAAAGAUGAGAAUAGCCCCUACCGAGACCGUACUCCUGCACUGGGCUCUGUUACUCCCACCCGGCCCCGGUAAUACUCCAGACAGUCCCCGGUGAGUCCCCGGGGCUCACAGAAGCAACACUCACUGUGACACCUUCUGGAGGCAUCCGCAGGGAGGUAGACUUGCACUUGACGUGAGAAAGAACUGCUGUCAGAAUUGUCCCCUGGGACAGCAUGUCUUGCAGGCUAUGCUUGGUUGUCAAUGCUAGUCGUGAGCUCGUACAUGGAUUUACAAUCCAUGAAUAAGUUUGAAAAACUCUGAUCUAAAGAACUUUGAAUUUUUAGUUCUCAGCUGUUUGCUCACACUAGCACCCAUCUUUGUUUAUUUUUCUGAGAGAGCCUUUCUGUAACGAUGCCAGCGAAGAUUUGAACUUGUCCGAGCGGGUUAACGAACCCUGUUCUUCAUCUGAGCAUUUGCUUUUCCUGUUGGCCUCCCUGAGCCUGAGAUACAUGCAGAGGAGUAACCUUGGGCCUGUCCGGCCUAAGUGACCCCGAGAAAUGGCGUAGGAAGCGGAGCCUGGCAUUGACACGCGUCCUGGGUCAGUCCUUUCCCUGCACCGCGUGUCUCUGCUGCUCCGGAGCGAGCCGUUGAAGGGCUCAGGCAGUGUGGGGGAAGAUGACAGAGUUGGUUUUCUAAAAACAGUAUGACAAAAAGAAUUAAAAGCAGUGGGACCUUUGAUUGGACUUCUGUACUGUCUUUGGCAGUGGGCUUUUUAUUUUUUUCCAGAAGUACCUUUAAUGUUAUGGCUGCAUUAGUUUA